rnacentral:rRNA from 1 species
AACGAACGCUGGCGGCAUGCCUAACACAUGCAAGUCGAACGAGACCUUCGGGUCUAGUGGCGCACGGGUGCGUAACGCGUGGGAACCUGCCCUUAGGUUCGGAAUAACUCCCCGAAAGGGGUGCUAAUACCGGAUAAUGUCUUCGGCCCAAAGAUUUAUCGCCUUUGGAUGGGCCCGCGUUGGAUUAGCUAGUUGGUAGGGUAAAAGACUACCAAGGCGACGAUCCAUAGCUGGUCUGAGAGGAUGAUUAGCCACACUGGGACUGAGACACGGCCCAGACUCCUACGGGAGGCAGCAGUGGGGAAUAUUGGACAAUGGGCGAAAGCCUGAUCCAGCAAUGCCGCGUGAGUGAUGAAGGCCUUAGGGUUGUAAAGCUCUUUUACCCGGGAUGAUAAUGACAGUACCGGGAGAAUAAGCUCCGGCUAACUCCGUG